CUAAAAUGCAACCAAAUAAAUCCAAUUAACAAAACAUAGAUCCAAUUCAUAAUCAGCAUGGGCCUAAUGAUAGGAUUUACCAAGCCCAACCGCCUAGAGGGUGUAAGGCAAAGGAGAGGUGUCAACAGAAACAGGGCAUGGAAGGCCAAAGGAGGAAGAUUGGGCCUAAGUCCCAAUCGGCUUCCUCAAGACCACAACAACGCUUACGUACGCUCUCAUCAACUUAAGCCUCUACUAAACGAACGACUACCUCCCGACGACUCCGCCGCGCUGGAUCUCAUCGCCAGCGGAGGCGGAGAUUCCAAACAUUCUCGCUCGCACCGUCCUAACAUUCUCACACUCUCGAUUACAUAACCUCCGCCUAAACCAAAAGCAGCUAUUAAGGCGCGCCUCUCCUACGGUGUGAGGCGAACGCCGAUUCAAUAUACAGAGCGAAACAAGAGCUGGAACCACAACACGAAAGGGAGAAGGAUCCUACCGACGACGGUGGAGGUGUAUCGUAAAUGAACGUAGGACUCAAGAUCGACUCAUCUUCUUGCUUCUGCUUCGAAAAUCAACGUAGGACUCAUGAUUCACUCAUUCUUGAAUCGGUGUGGUGAUGAUGUAAUUCGAUUUGCAGAAAUGCUUGCCGGAGGAUGAAGAUGGUGCGUGAGUUCGGUUGUGAUUUUGGCCAAGAGGUGUGAGUUUGAUGAUGAUUCAGAAAAAGAAGGAAGGAGCAAUUUUGGGGAGAAAAUCGAAGAAGAAAAAAUUUCAUUGCUCAAGCUUGUACUUAUAGCCUUUCAAGAUUGAAUUUUGGCUGGUGUUGGAGUUGUUGCUUUUGCGUUUGCAACGCGGAUGUCGUAUCUUGUGGCUGCAAUUUUCCUCGCGUUUUGGCUUCUUUUCACAUAUGGCUUGUGUUAAAGCUUGUGUAGGCGCUGCAGGUUGGUUUUGGUAGCUGAGUUUCCAUGGCUUAUUUCUGCAUUGCAUUUGGUUCAAUGGCACUCUGCAUCUUUCACAUGUCUAUGUGUACUCAACCUUUAAACUUUUCCACCAAAAUGCACUUCUUUCUUGUCUCAUUAGCCGUGCCACCUGGACCUUGGGUUUGCACUUGUGGAUUUAAAAAAUGUAUGAAAUGAUUUUGGAUAAUGGGUUGGUUGAAUGGUUAAUUUGGAUGUUAAUUGGAUAAUGGUUUUAAUAA